AUUGAACGCUGGCGGCAUGCCUUACACAUGCAAGUCGAACGGCAGCGGGGGAGAAGCUUGCUUUUCCUGCCGGCGAGUGGCGAACGGGUGAGUAAUACAUCGGAACGUGCCCUGUAGUGGGGGAUAACUAGUCGAAAGAUUAGCUAAUACCGCAUACGACCUGAGGGUGAAAGUGGGGGACCGCAAGGCCUCAUGCUAUAGGAGCGGCCGAUGUCUGAUUAGCUAGUUGGUGGGGUAAAGGCCUACCAAGGCGACGAUCAGUAGCUGGUCGGAGAGGACGAUCAGCCACACUGGGACUGGGACACGGCCCAGACUCCUACGGGAGGCAGCAGUGGGGAAUUUUGGACAAUGGGCGAAAGCCUGAUCCAGCAAUGCCGCGUGUGUGAAGAAGGCCUUCGGGUUGUAAAGCACUUUUGUCCGGAAAGAAAUGGCUCUGGUUAAUACCUGGGGUCGAUGACGGUACCGGAAGAAUAAGGACCGGCUAACUACGUGCCAGCAGCCGCCGUAA
rnacentral:rRNA from 1 species